AGGUGGUCUGCGCGAGCAGGAGAACGGCAGUCGGUGGAGAAACAAGAGAGGAAGACAGGCCUGCUGCACAGAAGCUCUGAGCCCUUGGUAAUGAGCAGUCCUACCUAUUCCUACCUUGAUAGAAAGGGCAGUUUUCUUGGUCGUUUUGAAGUUAUCAACCCUUACCUCAAUAUGGUUUCAAUUAUGAAUUACCAGACUAAAAGGGGAAAAAAAGCUUUGAUUUAUUCUUUUUUGCUCCAAUUAUGCAUGAUGUGUUUCCACGGAAGACUCUGAAAAGUAUUUCAUCAUGCCCUCAUCCUGAAGUGGUCAAAGGGCAGGAACAAAAGGCGUUAACCCUUUCAUUUCUCCUCCAGGUUCAAAGAGACUCCGACCAGUACACACUGGCUAAGGCCUUUGAAGAAGACGAAGCGACCAAAGGGUUAAGCAUUAGCCUCGUAUUACUAACAUGCAGAAGGGUGGUGUCCCUUGUCCAAAAUGGAACGUCCCGGAAGACUCGCUUAUCUCAGUGUGAAAGACAAAUGCUCCUGGGGGAGGGUGAGAGGUGAGCCUUAUCCCCGCGGUCACCUCCCUCCGACAUCUCUGACCUCAGAUAACAAGAUGCCUGGCAUCAUCACCACCUCACAACACCUGCUUCCCAAGGAAUGCAAGGCAGAGACCACUGCCUGUCCAUUCCACGGAGCAUCUGCAAGACUCAGAACUAUGCCUCUGCAGCACAAAGCAAGAAUUCAGUAAGUAUCUGAUAAUUAAAUGAGGCACUUACUAUGUAGCAAGCACUACUUUAUGUGCGUUACCUGUAUUAAUUUAUUUAAUCCUCACAGCCCAAGGAAAUGAUCCCUAUUUUACGAUGAGAAAAUUGAGCCACUGACAGGUUCAUGGGGGUUAGGGCCCUGCUUUUCCCUGGACUUCCUGGCUGAACUCAGGGAGCUCUGGAGCAUGUGCGAGCUGUGCGCCUGCACAGGAAUCCAGCAGCUGCGGGAGGGAGGACUCUCCAGAACCCUCCCUUUCCCAGACUGAAGGCUGUUAAAGAGAAGCAUGUAACAUCUGACCCCAGACAGUGGCAAGGGCGGCUGUAAGUCUAUCUGCAGCAAUGCUGGGAGAUCCUUCUGAGAAUAACCACAACCAAGGAGUUGCUUCAUUAUUUAGGGAGCGGUUGUCUAGACAACAUAAUGCCUAAUUCCACCCUGGGUCUUUUUCCAUGGUUAUUUUAAUACAGUUGAGAGUGAGUCCUUAGUAAGGAAUAUAAAAACAAACAGAGGGUGAAAUGGAGAUAUGCAUUUGAAGGCAAAGGACAUUCAAAAUUACACACUAAGAUUCUCGAAAAAGACAGGAUGAAAAAUGCACACUAACAUUCUCUCUCAGCCUCACUUUAGUGCCCAGACGUGCUAGUUCUAGGCACAGCUCCCUUCACAGCAGCUUCCUUUGGAAGAGAAAAGGAGAUCCCAGAUCACCUGAGAAGUAGCGGCUUAGCUACUCCAAAGCAAGAAAGCUUCUUCACUAAAUACGAAUCUCAUGGGGCCAGGGAUUUAGCUCAGUGGUGCUGCCGCCUGCCUCACAAGCGCAAGGUCCCAAAUUUGAUCCCCAAUACCAGG
ensembl:lincRNA